rnacentral:rRNA from 1 species
UAGGGAAUCUUCGGCAAUGGACGGAAGUCUGACCGAGCAACGCCGCGUGAGUGAAGAAGGUUUUCGGAUCGUAAAGCUCUGUUGUAAGAGAAGAACGAGUGUGAGAGUGGAAAGCUCACACUGUGACGGUAUCUUACCAGAAAGGGACGGCUAACUACGUGCCAGCAGCCGCGGUAAUACGUAGGUCCCGAGCGUUGUCCGGAUUUAUUGGGCGUAAAGCGAGCGCAGGCGGUUAGAUAAGUCUGAAGUUAAAGGCUGUGGCUUAACCAUAGUACGCUUUGGAAACUGUUUAACUUGAGUGCAAGAGGGGAGAGUGGAAUUCCAUGUGUAGCGGUGAAAUGCGUAGAUAUAUGGAGGAACACCGGUGGCGAAAGCGGCUCUCUGGCUUGUAACUGACGCUGAGGCUCGAAAGCGUGGGGAGCAAACAGGAUUAGAUACCCUGGUAGUCCACGCCGUAAACGAUGAGUGCUAGGUGUUAGACCCUUUCCGGGGUUUAGUGCCGCAGCUAACGCAUUAAGCACUCCGCCUGGGGAGUACGACCGCAAGGUUG